UACGUAGGGGGCUAGCGUUGUCCGGAUUUAUUGGGCGUAAAGAGCGCGUAGGCGGUCCGGUAAGUCAGCUGUGAAAGUCAAGGGCUCAACCCUUGAAAGCCGGCUGAUACUGCCGGACUAGAGUCCGGAAGAGGCGAGUGGAAUUCCCGGUGUAGCGGUGAAAUGCGUAGAUAUCAUAAGGAAGACCAGUGGCGAAGGCGGAUCUCUGGACAGUUACUGACACUGAGGCACGAAGGCCAGGGGAGCAAACGGG
rnacentral:rRNA from 1 species